rnacentral:rRNA from 1 species
GUGGGCGCACAAAACACCUAAACCUGGAGUAUACACACGUCAACAAAAGAUCUAAAAGAAUAAAACUUUCAACAACGGAUCUCUUGGUUCUCGCAUCGAUGAAGAGCGCAGCGAAAUGCGAUACCUAGUGUGAAUUGCAGCCAUCGUGAAUCAUCGAGUUCUUGAACGCACAUUGCGCCCGUCGGUAUUCCGGCGGGCAUGCCUGUCUGAGCGUCGUUUCCUUCUUGUGCACCGGGGUCUUUGCAGAUCCUCUCUGCGCAGAGCUGGCCGUGCCACUGGCCCGGCCGAAAAGAAACGUUGCGGACGAAGCGAACUACAUCGGGACGCUUUGGCCGCCGAGCGAAAAAAAAACACCAUUGAGCUCGACCUCAGAUCAGGUAGGAGUACCCGCUGAACUUAAGCAUAUCAAA